rnacentral:rRNA from 1 species
AUUGAACGCUGGCGGAAUGCUUUACACAUGCAAGUCGAACGGCAGCACGGACUUCGGUCUGGUGGCGAGUGGCGAACGGGUGAGUAAUGUAUCGGAACGUGCCCAGUCGUGGGGGAUAACGUAGUGAAAAUUACGCUAAUACCGCAUACGAUCUAUGGAUGAAAGCGGGGGAUCGCAAGACCUCGCGCGAUUGGAGCGGCCGAUAUCAGAUUAGGUAGUUGGUGGGGUAAGGGCCCACCAAGCCAACGAUCUGUAGCUGGUCUGAGAGGACGAGAGGCCACACGGGAACUGGAGCUCGGUCCAGACUCCUACGGGAGGCAGCAGGGGGGAAUUUUGGACAAUGGGCGAAAGCCUGAUCCAGCCAUUCCGCGUGCAGGAUGAAGGCCCUCGGGUUGUAAACUGCUUUUGUACAGAACGAAAAGGUUUCUACUAAUACUAGGAGCUCAUGACGGUACUGUAAGAAUAAGCACCGGCUAACUACGUGCCAGCCGCCGCCGUAA